rnacentral:rRNA from 1 species
GAGUUUGAUCGUGGCUCAGGGCGAACGCUGGCGGCGUGCUUAACACAUGCAAGUGGAGCGACGAACCAGAGCUUGCUCUGGGGCAGAGCCGCGAACGGGUGAGUAACACGUGGGUAACCCACCCCGAUGACCGGGACAACCCGAGGAAACUCGGGCUAAUACCGGAUGUUCUCUCCUCCUCUAAGGGAGGCGAGCAAAGAUAGCUUCGGCCUUCGCAUCGGGACGGGCCCGCGGCCCAUUAGCUUGUUGGUGAGGUAACGGCUUACCAAGGCGACGAUGGGUAGCUGGUCUGAGAGGACGAUCAGCCACACUGGGACUGAGACACGGCCCAGACUCCUACGGGAGGCAGCAGUGGGGAAUCUUGCGCAAUGCGCGAAAGCGUGACGCAGCAACGCCGCGU